CUCAAACCCAUUUAGCGAAAACUCAAACCUCACGAUAUUUUAUAGUUUAAAAAAAUAUGUUAUAAAAAAUAUUAAUAUGGACAUUAUAUAAUAUAUUGUCUUGUAAAUAUCCCUUCAUAUAAUGGAAGAUUGUAUUUUGUAUUACAAAGCGAACUCGCGACAGAAGUUCUUGAUGAGGCAUUGCGAAUAAUUGCAUACUUGCAACACACCAUAUGGCUUGGUAAAAUUAAUGACAGUUAUUAACAACUUAUAGCGACUCUUACUAUAGCGUAGCUGACACUUUCCGACUUUUCGAUACGAAAAUGUUGUAAUUAUGGUGUAAUCUUGCCAUUUGAUAUGGAAUUGAGGAAGAAUAAUAUUUCAAGACGUUGCAGUGGGCCCUCCCUUAGGAAAUAUGUCGUGCUUUCAAGAACAUGUGUAAUUCUGCUGCUUUCGUCGAACAAGUGGGUCCUUUACGCCAGUUAAGAUUUUCAAGCUGUAAUGGUGCCAUAAAAAAUCUGAAAGAAUUCAGUGACUUAAGAACCCCUCGAUAAAAAGUGAUUUGGAUCGACAGGAAUUAAGAGGAUUAUAUGUCAAUAAUAGCAAAGCAGAGACCACUUUGAACGAUGACUCAUAUCGAGCUAAAAAAAGCUAAAGUUAUUAAAAACCAGAUGUUCAUGGAGGUCACUUGAGAUCAUCAGGUGACUACGAACGGAUCACAUACCAACGAGUUUGUGCCAAUAAUAUCUGCAGUAAAUGUUUGGAGAUCUAUUCUUUGCAAAGAGUUCGAUGCGUCAACAUUUAUCGGGUUUGUUUAUAGACUUGACUGAAAAAUGAAUUGAAGGAAGAACUGAAACAGAAGUUUUUAUUACAGUGCAGUGCCCGCAGUGACGAAUCUGUUGAUGAAUUCUUGCCAUAACGUGAUGCAGUCGAAGAAAAUAUCGUCGCAUAGAAUUAAACUUCCUUUUUUCCCGAAUUGAUCGAUGUAAUAACAGUUCGUAAAUAUGGAGAACGAAGCAAAAUGAAAUUCAGUUAAAAGUGUUAAAUUUAGACGUUUCUCUUUGUGCAUUACUGUGUUAUUGUAUAUAUUGAACAAGAGGAUAUAACACAAUGGAAUUUCAGGAAAAAUCUGCUUUUGCUCAAGAAAAUCCAAUUUAUGAUGCCAUCCCUUUAAUUAUUAUUGAUAAAACGGGAAGGAAAUAUCCCAAAGACGAGGCAGAAAAUCUAAGAAAACAUUACGUUUCUAGUCCAUUUUGGAUGAAAUUUCGUUUACUAUUAUUUUGGAUAAUGUGGGUUGUAUUGAUAAUGGCGAUGAUAAUCUCUUUUCUUACAUACUUUUGCUUUACACCCCGAAUGUGCCAUAGUUCAAAUACACAUAAGAAUAUACACAAAUAAUAAAUACAUCGUCUCAUAAGAUGCAAUGGAAACGCAAUGGCGCAUGAUAAUAAUUUAGAUUAUUAUAUGUUUGUAUUGUAUAUUCAUGGUUCAAGUAAUAAUAUUAGUCAAUGGUAUUAAAAUUAUUAAUAAUAUGACAAUUGAAGAAUAUCAACGCUUAGCUAGUAGAAAAGUGUUUGAAAGAAAUUAAAUUGUUGUACACUUUCAUUAUACCUUUAUUACUAUAGCGCAAUUUUACAGCAUAAAAAAUUCA